CACGUAGGGCGCGAGCGUUGUCCGGAAUUAUUGGGCGUAAAGAGCUCGUAGGCGGCCUGUUGCGUCCGCUGUGAAAGCCCGGGGCUUAACCCCGGUCGGCAGUGGAUACGGGCAGGCUAGAGGUAGGUAGGGGAGAAUGGAAUUCCCGGUGUAGCGGUGAAAUGCGCAGAUAUCGGGAGGAACACCGGUGGCGAAGGCGGUUCUCUGGGCCUUACCUGACGCUGAGGAGCGAAGCGUGG
rnacentral:rRNA from 1 species